rnacentral:tRNA from 1 species
UAUUCCACAUAUCCUCAGUGCGUAUAACUAGUCGUACGCGAGUCCUCUCAAAGAGCUCAAGAAACGCGCGUAUC